CAGCCUCGGGGAACUGGGCGACGUGGGCCUGGGAUCGUGGGUGCGCUUGUCACGGGCACCGGGAGCGUGCGGGCGUCUGAGCUUUGGGCACUGCGGGGCUGCGGGCUUGGCGCCCCGGAAGGCGGGUGCCCCAGCCGGCCGUGAUCCCGGGGUUCCUGAGACUGACGAGGGCAAGGAGAGCUAAGGGAUGGGGGAAAUGGUGGCCCCUGGGCAGAAGCUACCAACAAGGGGCUUGCGGCUGCCAGAAAGAAGUGAUGGUGACAUUUGAAACCCACAGGGACAGAAGCCCACCAGUGUGCUGACAGGUGUCAAGAGCCAGGAUGCUGGGAUGAUGCCCUUGGAGGCCCUGGUGUCCCCCCUGCCCAGGUGCUAGGAGCCGUCCCCAGGCUCCAACUGGGAGCCCUGCUGCCCAGGGGCAUGGCCAAACCUUUCUUCAGACUCCAGAAGUUUCUCCGCAGAACACAGUUCCUGCUUCUCUUCCUCACGGCCGCCUACCUGAUGACCGGCAGCCUGCUGCUCCUGCAGCGGGCCAGAGU
rnacentral:lncRNA from 1 species